rnacentral:rRNA from 1 species
GUUGUAAUCUGGAGAAGCAUUUUCCGCGUCGGACCGUGUACAAGUUUCUUGGAAUAGAACGUCAUAGAGGGUGAGAAUCCCGUCCAUGACACGGACUACCGAUGCUUUGUGAUAUGCUCUCGAAGAGUCGAGUUGUUUGGGAAUGCAGCUCAAAAUGGGUGGUAAAUUCCAUCUAAAGCUAAAUAUUGGCGAGAGACCGAUAGCGAACAAGUACCGUGAGGGAAAGAUGAAAAGCACUUUGGAAAGAGAGUUAAACAGUACGUGAAAUUGUUGAAAGGGAAACGCUUGAAGUCAGUCGCGUUGGCAGAGACUCAGCCUUGCUUUGCAUGGUGUACUUCUCAGUUAACGGGUCAACAUCAAUUUCAGUUGGUGGAUAAAGGCAUUGGGAAUGUGGCACCUUCGGGUGUGUUAUAGACCUUUGUUGCAUACACUGACCGGGAUUGAGGAACGCAGCACGCCACUAAGGCCAGGGAUUCGUCCCAUGUAACGUGCUUAGGAUGUUGGCAUAAUGGCUUUAAGCGACCCGUCUUGAAACACGGACCAAGGAGUCUAACAUGCCUGCGAGUAUUAGGGUGGAAAACCCUUGUGCGUAAUUAACGUGAAAGUUGGGACCUCUUGCGAGGGCACCGACGCCCGGCCCUGAAGUUUACUGACGGCGCUGCGGUAGAGCAUGUAUGUUGGGACCCGAAAGAUGGUGAACUAUGCCUGAAUAGGGUGAAGCCAGGGGAAACUCUGGUGGAGGCUCGUAGCGAUU